GUUCCUGGAACCAGUCCCCCACGGAUACUGAGGGCUAACUGCAUUGAGACACUAUAUUGAAAGAGCAACAUAAGAUGGUCACAGUUUGGUAAGAAGAUCAAAGGGCACGAUCAACAGCUCGUGCACUGCCUUGGUGUGGACCCAGAGUUCAAGCACAGACGAAGAUCAGACACUGACUUCACACUUCUGAUAGAAAAAUGAAGAAUUCAGAACCCAACCGGAAACUCAAGACAAGCUUCGAAAAUAGGAAUAAAAAUUCAAAGACCUUGGAACAGAAUUCCAGCAUAAAACCCAGGACCACCUCCACUGCGUCCACAGGCAGGUGGACGGCCAUCCCCACCACCAGCUCUACCAGUGCCACCUCGACCCACAGGAGUUGCUCCUCCUCCUCCAACUCCUUUACCUCUACUAAAUGGUAUACCAUAUUCACCACCAUUACCUUUGUUAGGGGAUCUCCUGGUUUAACUUAUGAAGCAGAAAUGAAUAUAUAAACCUGACCUCCAUGAAAUGAUUCUUGAACUGCAUGACUUUGAUUCUCCAAGGAAAAAGAAUCAAAUGCUCAAAGGCAAAAUUCUAACAAAAGGUUUUUGAGAUUUGCUAGUCACAGGUUGUCGUUAACAUGCAAAUAACUGCAUAGCUGUGUACAAGUAUGGUAUACUUUUAGAGACUAUGACUCUUGACUCUUUAGCUUUCCAUUGUGAGCUCACCAUCUUAUGUUGCUCUUUCAAUAUAGUGUCUCAAUGCAGUUAGCCCUCAGUAUCCGUGGGGGACUGGUUCCAGGAACCCUGUGGAUACAAAAAUCGGCAGAUACUCACAUCCUUUACAAUUAGCCCUCUGUAUCUGCGAGUUCCAUAUCUGUGGAUGUGGAACCCACGGAUAUGGACAGCUGACUGCAAUUCUUGUCAAUUACUUAAAGUGUCAUGAUGAGGUUCCCUAUGGGACAGCUACCUGUCAUGAGGAUGAAUCCUCAAACACUUCUGCUAUAUUUUCAGUCCACCAAAGAAUGCCUUACAGCUGGAAGGAGCUAGUGUCCCUUCUCUUCAGAGCUAAAGCGAUUUCAGUCUCUCAAACAGUUUGUUCAGACUUUAUAUAUGAAAAAUACUUUAAUUUUAAGCAAAAUUUAAAAUGUCACCCAAUCCAGUCACGCCGAAGUUCCCCUUAAGCUUUCUCUAUCUAGGAAAUUCCUACAAGUUCCCUUUCACUUAGGAAAUGUACCAGUAUCCUCUUAAGACUCCAAGCUGGUCUUCAGGUGGAUGGAUAAAGAAAAUAUGACAUGUACAGAAAACUGAAUAUUAUUCACCCCUUAAAGGGAAGUAAGAAAUACUUGGGUUAAGUAUUUAACGCAAGUAAAAAUAUGCAGUGGUUAAGAAUCCGACUGCCAGUGCAGAGGACACGGGUUCAAUCCCUGGUCCAGGAAGAUCCCACAUGCCGCGGAGCAACUAAGCCCGUGUGCCACAACUACUGAGGCUGGGCUCUAGAGCCCGCGAACCACAACUACUGAGCCCGCCUGCCGCUACUGAGCCCGUGUGCUGCAACUACUUGAGGCCACAUGCCUGGAGCCCGUGCUCCGAAAUACCAGAAACCACCACGAUGAGAAGCCCACGCACCGCAACAAACAGCAGCCCCCGCUUGCCACGGCUAGAGAAAGCCAGUGCCCCAACGCAGCCAAAAUAAAUAAAUAAAUAAUAAAAUGAACUUCACACAUGAAUAUCUCCUUUAAAAAAAUUUUUUAUUAUCUUUUCAAAGAACCAGCUGUCAAUUUUCUCAUUCAUUUUUCCUCUAUUCUAUACUUCAUGUAAGCUACGUUAAUUUUUGUUUUUAUAGUUUUUUUUCU